UACGUAGGUGGCAAGCGUUGUCCGGAUUUACUGGGCGUAAAGCGUGCGCAGGCGGUUCGCCAAGUCAGGUGUGAAAUCCCCGGGCUUAACCUGGGAAUUGCGCUUGAAACUAGCGAGCUUGAGUGUGGCAGAGGGGGGUGGAAUUCCACGUGUAGCAGUGAAAUGCGUAGAGAUGUGGAGGAACACCGAUGGCGAAGGCAGCCCCCUGGGUCAACACUGACGCUCAUGCACGAAAGCGUGGGGAGCAAACAGG
rnacentral:rRNA from 1 species